rnacentral:tmRNA from 1 species
GAACUGUCUGUAGAGUGCUUCUGGACGCGGGUUCAAUUCCCGCCGGCUCCACCA